rnacentral:rRNA from 1 species
AUUGAACGCUGGCGGCAGGCCUAACACAUGCAAGUCGAGCGAGCGGCGGACGGGUGAGUAAUGUCUGGGAAACUGCCUGCUGGAGGGGGAUAACUACUGGAAACGGUAGCUAAUACCGCAUACCAUCAGAUGUGCCCAGAUGGGAUUAGCUUGUAGGUGGGGUAACGGCUCACCAAGGCGACGAUCCCUAGCUGGUCUGAGAGGAUGACCAGCCACACAGGAACGGAGACAGUGUCCAGACUCCUACGGGAGGCAGCAGUGGGGAAUAUUGCACAAUGGGCGCAAGCCGGAUGCAGCCAUGCCGCGUGUAUGAAGAAGGCCUUCGGGUUGUAAAGUACUUUCAGCGAGGAGGCGUUACCCGCAGAAGAAGCACCGGCUAACUCCGUGCCAGCAGCCGCGGUAAUAC